rnacentral:misc_RNA from 1 species
CGGGGUGGACCCAACGGUUGCACAAAUAAUUAACAUGAUUGGUGCUCUUCUAGCAGAAGGAGAAAGGGGUGCCAACUCUCUUGAUCUCCUAAUAUCCGAGCUUCAUCCUGAUGUAUUGGCUGAUAUAGUCAUAACUAAUAUGAAGCACUUGCCUAAAAACAAUCCCCCUCCUUUUGCACCGGUUGGAACCUUUUCAUUACCUCGGG